rnacentral:rRNA from 1 species
GUGGGGAAUUUUGGACAAUGGGCGCAAGCCUGAUCCAGCAAUGCCGCGUGCAGGAAGAAGGCCUUCGGGUUGUAAACUGCUUUUGUACGGAACGAAACGGUCCGGGUUAAUACCCUGGGCUAAUGACGGUACCGUAAGAAUAAGCACCGGCUAACUACGUGCCAGCAGCCGCGGUAAUACGUAGGGUGCAAGCGUUAAUCGGAAUUACUGGGCGUAAAGCGUGCGCAGGCGGUUUUGUAAGACAGGCGUGAAAUCCCCGGGCUCAACCUGGGAAUUGCGCUUGUGACUGCAAGGCUGGAGUGCGGCAGAGGGGGAUGGAAUUCCGCGUGUAGCAGUGAAAUGCGUAGAUAUGCGGAGGAACACCGAUGGCGAAGGCAAUCCCCUGGGCCUGCACUGACGCUCAUGCACGAAAGCGUGGGGAGCAAACAGGAUUAGAAAUCCGGGUAGUCC